CGUGGAUAAUAAACGGGCAUCAAGUAUACCACCGAAGUUCUGGGCACGAAAGUGCGGUAGGGGAGCAUUCCAUUCCGCGUUGAAGCCGAACCGUGAGGUUUGGUGGAGUGUAUGGAAAAGCAAAUGUAGGCAUGAGUAACGAUAAUGCGGGAGAGUAACCCGCACACCGCAAGACCAAGGUUUCCUGAUCAACGCUAAUCGGAUCAGGGUUAGUCGGGUCCUAAGGGUAAGCCGAACGGCGAUCUCGAUGGAUAAUCGGUUAAUAUUCCGAUACUAACAUAUACCUCGAUGGAGAGACGAAGGAACGUAAGUGCCGCCACCUGACGGAAUAGGUGGUUAAAGGGCGUAGGUAUAGGGGCAGAUUAAGAGUUAGUCCUUGCUGAAACCUGACAGUACAGAGAGCCUACGGGCAAUUUGAUAGAGCACCCAAGUCGACUUCCGAGAAAAUCUUCUAAGUUAUAGUAUAUGUUACCCGUACCGUAAACCGACACAGGUGGUCGAGGAGAGUAUCCUAAGGUGCUCGAGUGAAUCACGGUUAAGGAACUAGGCAAAUUAACCCCGUAACUUCGGGAAAAGGGGUCCCUAUGAAAGUAGGGCGCAGCGAAGAGGUCCAGGCGACUGUUUAUCAAAAACACAGGGCUCUGCAAAUUCGAAAGAAGACGUAUAGGGCCUGACACCUGCCCGGUGCUGGAAGGUUAAGAGGGGAUGUCAUCGCAAGAGAAGCAUUGAAUCGAAGCCCCAGUAAACGGCGGCCGUAACUAUAACGGUCCUAAGGUAGCGAAAUUCCUUGUCGGGUAAGUUCCGACCUGCACGAAUGGUGUAACGAUCUGGACACUGUCUCAACCGUGAGCUCGGUGAAAUUGUAGUCCCGGUGAUGAUGCCGGGUACCCGCAACGGGACGAAAAGACCCCGUGAACCUUUACUAUAGCUUAACGCUGAAUUUGGGUACACAAUGUGUAGGAUAGGCCGGAGGCUUUGAAGCGGGCACGCCAGUGUUCGUGGAGCCGACGUUGAAAUACGGCCCUUUGUGUAUUUGAGUUCUAACCCUGCGAAGGGGACACCGUUUGGUGGGUAGUUUGACUGGGGUGGUCGCCUCCAAAAGCGUAACGGAGGCUUCCCAAGGUACCCUCAGCACGAAUGGUAACCGUGCGCGGAGUGCAAUAGCAUAAGGGUGCUUGACUGUGAGACAUACAAGUCGACCAGGUACGAAAGUAGGGUAUAGUGAUCCGGUGGUUCUGCGUGGACUGGCCAUCGCUCAAAGGAUAAAAGGUACUCCGGGGAUAACAGGCUGAUCGCCGCCAAGAGCUCAUAUCGACGCGGCGGUUUGGCACCUCGAUGUCGGCUCGUCACAUCCUGGGGCUGGAGAAGGUCCCAAG
rnacentral:rRNA from 1 species